AUUAAGAAUCAGGAACCAGUCAAUGAGUCAUGGCGGUCAGGCGUCAGGGGCUCAGGGCCAUCAAACUCAAGACGAACAACGUAGAAUGGCAGAAAGAACAAUGUGAUGCAUGAUGUAUCGUCCUAUCGUUAAAGAAAAUGGGAAAACACAGUGGAAUUCUGGGUUGGACUCGUCGAUUGCAGUGCCUGUAACUCAACUUCAAACAAACGUUAAUAGCUGCCUCAGCCACUUAAUUGCAUAUAUGUCUAUUUUUUGGCAAGUUAACAUGACUUGGCACAACAUUCCAUGGCUAAGUGAUUAUAUACCUAGAUCAUUGUGUCGUAGAAACACGAUGAAAAUAUUUAGUCCUGUAAUUUCUUGUCCAACGAUGCUAUACCAUCCACGAUGUAUACUAACUAUCCAAAAUGCCACUAUAAUAGUGCAUUGCUUGAAAUCAGGACAAACAGUCAAACAGAGUAAUCUUUGUUUGGAGGUGAAAUUCCUGUUUACUAUGAUAAACAGAAAAAAGGUUCCGAGAGCUCCAUUACCUACCUGAUUUGAUUUUUAUAGCUGGGCUCUUGGCUCUUGGCUGACAGGUGAUUUUGCCUACAAUUUCAGUCUCACUCCCAGUGUGUCAUCUGACCAUGUGGCCUGAAAUUGCUGUCCAUAUGCCGAAAUGUCGUCCAGUACCAGAAACUUAAAUGCAAUGGUUUUGAUUGGAUUAAUUUAAGCUAUGAUGGUGUUUGCUGCUCAACGUGUACAUGGUGAAAGAUUCAACAUGUUAAACUGUUUGAUGCCGAAGUAAGUCAGAACUCUAACCCUAACAGCUGCUGCUGCUGCCUCAUACCCACAGGCAGAAAAGUUGCUCUAUUUCUUCAGACAAUUUAUAAUGUUCAACAGGCAGGUGAUAUUUCUGCAUUGUUGUUUAACACAACAUGGUUUUUGGGUGCGGCCAACCAGUGGAAGGCGUCAUCAAAUCAAGUUCAGCUGUUGCACGGAGUCUGUGGUGCCGGUGUUAUCCUGGAGUGUGUUGGUGUUUUGUGAAAUGUUUCGCAUAAGCUGUUUUGUGUGUCCCCAGGGCUUGCUAACUGACAAUGAGAGAUUUCAAUGUUUAACUUUACUUGUGUCAUUUUUGUUAUCGUGGCAUGAGAAUCACUGCUUGAUUUUUUUUUAAAGCAGGAUUAACAGCUAGUUGAAGUCUUAUCUUCACCUUCUUCUUUGUUCCAGUCUAAUUCACACAUGAAUUUUUUUCAGUCAGCAUUUUGAAUUUGACAUGAACAAUUUUAUUUAAUGGUUUCGCGUUUAUGUUCGCGUAGUUGCUGUCCGAUGUGGCACGUUGCUGCUAUGCUGGUGAAAGAUCUUUCUACAUCAAGUUCAAUUGGCCGUUCGGUGCUGGUGUCCUGUUACCGAAAUUGC
rnacentral:lncRNA from 1 species